rnacentral:tRNA from 1 species
GCAGUCGAUGCCGAGUGGUUAAGGCGAUGGAAUAGAAAUCCAUUGGGGUCUCCCCGCACAGGUUCGAAUCCUGUCGACUGCG